AAGUACAAUUAAAAUUAUAUUUUACUAGCCCGAUCCCUUCUGAUCUUGGAAGCUAAGCAAGGUUGGGCCUGAUUAGUACUUGGAUGGGAGACCACCUAGAAAGAUCAGGUGCUGUAGGUG
ensembl:rRNA 5S_rRNA 5S ribosomal RNA